GCUCAGAUUGAACGCUGGCGGCAGGCCUAACACAUGCAAGUCGAGCGGAUGAAGAGAGCUUGCUCUCUGAUUCAGCGGCGGACGGGUGAGUAAUGCCUAGGAAUCUGCCUGGUAGUGGGGGACAACGUUUCGAAAGGAACGCUAAUACCGCAUACGUCCUACGGGAGAAAGCAGGGGACCUUCGGGCCUUGCGCUAUCAGAUGAGCCUAGGUCGGAUUAGCUAGUAGGUGAGGUAAUGGCUCACCUAGGCGACGAUCCGUAACUGGUCUGAGAGGAUGAUCAGUCACACUGGAACUGAGACACGGUCCAGACUCCUACGGGAGGCAGCAGUGGGGAAUAUUGGACAAUGGGCGAAAGCCUGAUCCAGCCAUGCCGCGUGUGUGAAGAAGGUCUUCGGAUUGUAAAGCACUUUAAGUUGGGAGGAAGAGCAGUAAGUUAAUACCUUGCUGUUUUGACGUACCAAC
rnacentral:rRNA from 1 species